rnacentral:rRNA from 1 species
AUUGAACGCUGGCGGCAGGCCUAACACAUGCAAGUCGAGCGGAUGAAGGGAGCUUGCUCCUGGAUUCAGCGGCGGACGGGUGAGUAAUGCCUAGGAAUCUGCCUGGUAGUGGGGGAUAACGUCCGGAAACGGGCGCUAAUACCGCAUACGUCCUGAGGGAGAAAGUGGGGGAUCUUCGGACCUCACGCUAUCAGAUGAGCCUAGGUCGGAUUAGCUAGUUGGUGGGGUAAAGGCCUACCAAGGCGACGAUCCGUAACUGGUCUGAGAGGAUGAUCAGUCACACUGGAACUGAGACACGGUCCAGACUCCUACGGGAGGCAGCAGUGGGGAAUGUUGGACAAUGGGCGAAAGCCUGAUCCAGCCAUGCCGCGUGUGUGAAGAAGGUCUUCGGAUUGUAGAGCACUUUAAGUUGGGAGGAAGGGCAGUAAGUUAAUACCUUGCUGUUUUGACGUUACCAACAGAAUAAGCACCGGCUAACUUCGUG